GACCAACUAAGUUAGUUCUUGGUAUGAGCUUUCGUGUGCAAGCACACUUCUUCAGAUACACAGUGUGCUUGCACACGAAAGCUCAUACCAAGAACUAACUUAGUUGG
rnacentral:miRNA from 1 species